UACAGAGGGUGCAAGCGUUGUUCGGAAUUACUGGGCGUAAAGCGCGUGUAGGUGGCGACGUAAGUCGGGUGUGAAAUCCCUUGGCUCAACCAAGGAAGUGCAUUCGAUACUGUGUCGCUUGAGUACUGGAGGGGAUGGCGGAAUUCCCGGUGUAGAGGUGAAAUUCGUAGAUAUUCGGAAGAACACCAGUGGCGAAGGCGGCUCACUGGCCCGUUACCGACGCUCAGGCGCGACAGCGUGGGGAGCAAACAGG
rnacentral:rRNA from 1 species